AUACUUACCUGGCACAGGAGUGACUUUGAUCAAGAAGGAAUGUCCUCCCAAGGUGAGGCCUCGGCAUUGCACUUGGCUGAGGUUGACCCUUGCGAUUCCCCCAAAUGUGGGGAACUCGGGUGUAUAAUUUAUGGUAGCGGGGACUGCGUUCGCGCUAACCCCUA
rnacentral:snRNA from 1 species